rnacentral:rRNA from 1 species
GACGAACGCUGGCGGCGUGCUUAACACAUGCAAGUCGAGCGGAAAGGCCCUUCGGGGUACUCGAGCGGCGAACGGGUGAGUAACACGUGAGUAACCUGCCCUGGACUUUGGGAUAACCCUCGGAAACGGGGGCUAAUACCGAAUACGACACAGCUUCGCAUGAAGUCUGUGUGGAAAGUUUUUCGGUCUGGGAUGGACUCGCGGCCUAUCAGCUUGUUGGUGGGGUAAUGGCCUACCAAGGCGACGACGGGUAGCCGGCCUGAGAGGGCGACCGGCCACACUGGGACUGAGACACGGCCCAGACUCCUACGGGAGGCAGCAGUGGGGAAUAUUGCACAAUGGGCGGAAGCCUGAUGCAGCGACGCCGCGUGAGGGAUGACGGCCUUCGGGUUGUAAACCUCUUUCAGCAGGGACGAAGCGCAAGUGACGGUACCUGCAGAAGAAGCGCCGGCCAACUACGUGCCAGCAGCCGCCGUAAAAC